UACGUAGGUGGCAAGCGUUGUUCGGAAUUAUUGGGCGUAAAGGGCGCGUAGGCGGCUUGUUAAGUCGGCUGUGAAAGCCCGGGGCUCAACCCCGGAGGGUCAGCCGAUACUGGCAGGCUAGAGUACGGAAGAGGUAGCUGGAAUUCCCGGUGUAGCAGUGAAAUGCGUAGAUAUCGUGAGGAACACCAGAGGCGAAGGCGGCUACCUGGACAAUUGCUGACGCUCAGGCACGAAAGCGUGGGGAGCAAAAGGG
rnacentral:rRNA from 1 species